UUAGCGGCGGACGGGUGAGUAACACGUGGGCAACCUGCCCUGCAGAUCGGGAUAACUCCGGGAAACCGGUGCUAAUACCGAAUAGUUUGCGGCCUCUCCUGAGGCUGCACGGAAAGACGGUUUCGGCUGUCACUGCAGGAUGGGCCCGCGGCGCAUUAGCUAGUUGGUGGGGUAAUGGCCCACCAAGGCGACGAUGCGUAGCCGACCUGAGAGGGUGAUCGGCCACACUGGGACUGAGACACGGCCCAGACUCCUACGGGAGGCAGCAGUAGGGAAUCUUCCGCAAUGGACGAAAGUCUGACGGAGCAACGCCGCGUGAGUGACGAAGGUUUUCGGAUCGUAAAACUCUGUUGUGAGGGAAGAACAAGUACCAMGUAACUACUGGUACCUUGACGGUACCUCACCAGAAAGCCACGGCUAACUACGUGCCAGCAGCCGCGGUAAUACGUAGGUGGCAAGCGUUGUCCGGAAUUAUUGGGCGUAAAGCGCGCGCAGGCGGUCCCUUAAGUCUGAUGUGAAAGCCCACGGCUCAACCGUGGAGGGUCAUUGGAAACUGGGGGACUUGAGUGCAGAAGAGGAAAGUGGAAUUCCAUGUGUAGCGGUGAAAUGCGUAGAGAUGUGGAGGAACACCAGUGGCGAAGGCGACUUUCUGGUCUGUAACUGACGCUGAGGCGCGAAAGCGUGGGGAGCAAACAG
rnacentral:rRNA from 1 species